GCCUGGGUAGUUCAGUGGUAGAACGUCUCCAUGGUAAGGAGAAGGCCGAGAGUUCAAUCCUCUCCCCAGGCU
rnacentral:tRNA from 1 species